GUUGUAGGACAGAAGGUGUCCAAAGAUGAGUUAUUGAGGCUCCGCCUGCGCUGUGUCACACUCUCGCGCGCCCGAGCACACGUUUCUUAGCGCUGAGGGGUGGAGCCGAAUCGGCUAAUGGCUCAAUUCGCACCCCGAGAGCAAUUGGUGCAUUGCCGCAAAGACAAGAACGGAUGUAUAGGAAGCUGUUUUUCGGGGC
ensembl:ncRNA C38C5.2 ncRNA